rnacentral:rRNA from 1 species
UACAGAGGGUGCGAGCGUUGUCCGGAAUCACUGGGCGUAAAGGGCGCGUAGGCGGCUUGAUAAGCGUGCGGUGAAAGCCCGGGGCUCAACCCCGGGUCGGCCGUGCGAACUGUCGAGCUGGAGCACUGUAGAGGCAGGUGGAAUUCCGGGUGUAGCGGUGGAAUGCGUAGAGAUCCGGAAGAACACCGGUGGCGAAGGCGGCCUGCUGGGCUGACACUGACGCUGAAGCGCGAAAGCUAGGGGAGCGAACGGG